UUUUAUAUACGAAUCCUCAACCGGAUUGCAUAUCAUUCUAAGUGAUCCACCUCUAAAAUGUGGACCAUACAUGCUUAUUUGAAUUUCAACAUCUUUUACGAUAAAUAAUCAAUUUUUUAACCACUUUCACAUGCUAGUAGAAGAAUAAUUAUUGUUUUAAGUUUAGAUUGUCCAAAAGGGUUAUGAAAAAACACUAUCUUUCAUACAAAUCUAUGUUGAAAAGUUGGUAAAUCUUUAUGGAAAGUUGCUGUGUUUAUGUGGGAUUACUGAUGUAUUAAUUAAACUUCGGCAGUGCAGUUGAACUAUGCAUGUUUGAGGCGAGUCGAUACUAGAUUGGAUUUGUUGUGGUGUUGGUGACUAAAUUCCUGAGGUCACUGUCCAACUUUUCACACUGCAACGAAAAGCCUAGUACUGACCGACAAUAUAAAAGAAAUGUUGCAUAUAAUUUAUCAGCUUUUUGUAGCUGUUAGGUUCUUCCCCCCU
rnacentral:lncRNA from 1 species